ensembl:lncRNA
AAGUGGUGUUUCUUAUGGAGGACUGCCAGCAAACUGUGCACCCUUUCAGCUGGGGAGCUGCUCUGGAAAGGAUUGUUAGUGCUGGAAAAGCCACUUCUAUUUGCCUACGCUCUGUGAAGUCCUAAACCCAAGCAGCUGGCAAGGCUGCCCAGGUGCAUUUGACACUUUGUCCACUGAUGUCAUCACUCCAUCAGAGAAGGCCACCAUAUUGGUUGGACACGACCUUCCCUUGAUAAAGCCAUGCUGUCUGUCUCAGAUCACCCGCUCAUCUCUCAUGUGCCAUGUGUCUUCCAGGAGGGACUGUUCCAUCAUCUUCCCUGGCACAAAGGUGAGACACACCAGGCUGUGGUUCCCCGGCCCCUGCUUCCUCCCCUUCUUGUAAAUAGGAGUGAUGUUGCCCUUUUCCAGUCACCGGGGACUUCGCCUGACAGCCAGGACUUUUCAAAUAUGACAGGCAGCAGCUCGGCAGCCAGCUGUCUUAGGACCCUGGGAUGCAUGUCAUCCAGCACCAUGGACUUGUACACAGUCAAUCUUAUGAGCGGGUUUCAGACUUGCUCUAUCCUUAAAGUGAGUGGGAUUUUUCUCCCCCAGUUCCCACCUAGAGGUUCAGGUUCAGGGAUGUGAGAAUCUUGGCUGCAGUGAAGACUGAGGCAAAGAACUCAUUGAGUACCUCAGCCUUCUCUAUUUGUUGUAGCCAGUUCUCCUUUCUCAUUUAGCACAGGAGGUACGCUCUCUCCGACUUGUCUCUUCUGACCUAUGUACCUGUAGAAUCUCUUCUUGUUUUUAACAUCCUGAAGCCUGACUCCUGCAGUAAAGUAACUCUCUCUUGGUACACAGCAAAAAAGCUUUUUGCCCCAGUAAGGAAAGGUAGUUGGAGUCAGUGGAGCCCGUUCUGUUGGUUUAAAUCUGUACCAUUCACUCACAGUGCCACAGAAAGGUGCACUCACAAGAUAACUGGAAUGACCCCCACUUUUUGAGCUCUCAUCUAGGCCUAAAGGCUAUGAGAGGUGAAAGAGGACCACAGAGUAGCUAUGUCCUAUAGAGGACUCACAGAUGGGGAGGAAGGAGACUGGCUGCUGUGCUCUGAAGUUCAAAUCCUGCUGGGGCAAAGGCAGGGCUGGGGAUCUGGACCCAACAGUACAAAAGAGAAAAGAGAAGUGAUCUGGCUGGUAUCUGAAUCAAUGCAGUUAUUUGGAAGAGAUUUAAAUAUUCAAAGGGAUGAAAUGAUUAAAUCUUCCACUGCUAUUGCUUGGUAUUUAUAUGCAUGCUAUAAAACAAAAUAUUUCUACCAAGGGACUUGUAAAUAAGUAUUUCUCCAUGACCUUCAGGCUUAAGCAGAUGCACUUUUAUAAGCUAAAUAAAUGCAGAUUAG